GGGGCCAUAGUUCAAUGGGAGAACGCAGCGUUCGCAACGCUGAGAUGGCAGUUCGACUCUGCUUGGCUCCACAA
rnacentral:tRNA from 1 species